rnacentral:rRNA from 1 species
CGGAGGAAAAGAAACUAACAAGGAUUCCCUUAGUAGCGGCGAGCGAAGCGGGAAGAGCCCAAAAUGAAAAGCCUGCUUGCAGGCGUUGUAUUUUGAGCGUUCUUGGGGUGUCAGUGCGGGUAAGUCGUAUGGAAAUACGUACCGUGGAGGGUGAGAGUCCCGUCCGACCUGCACAGGACACUUCGUACUAGAAUGUUUCAGUUGAGUCGGGUAGCUUGGGAAUGCUGCUCUAAUAUUGGUGGUAAAUCUCAUCAAAGGCUAAAUAUUGACCAGAGACCGAUAGUGAACAAGUACCGUGAGGGAAAGAUCAAAAGCACUUUGAAAAAAGAGUGAAAAGAACCUGAAACCGUUAUGGGGGAAGCGUAUUGCGUUGAAUUGAGUGGUUGCUGUGUUUUCAGCCUAAAUAGUGUGGUGCAUUGAUACAGUAACUGACCGGCCGUGAGUUUGGAGUGAUUGACAAGGAGUCACUCUGGGCUGAGGGAUCCCUUGUUUGAAUAGGUGAGGACGGUGGGCAGCAACGCGAUUCGACCCGUCUUGAAACACGGACCAAGGAGUCUAGCACAGUUGCGAGUCAGAGGGUGCAAGCCUGAGGGCGUAGUGAAAGCGAGUGUGAAAACUAGCAGUUUGAGGCGGCAUGAGAUUGUGAAUCUCAAGUUUGACCUAGAGCAGUUGUGCUGGGACCCGAAAGAUGGUGAACUAUGCCGGAAUAGGGCAAAGCCAGAGGAAACUCUGGUGGAGGCUCGAAGAGGUGCUGACGUGCAAAUCGUUCUUCGAAUUUUGGUAUAGGGGCGAAAGACUAAUCGAACCAUCUAGUAGCUGGUUCCCUCCGAAGUUUCUCUCAGGAUAGCGGGCCGACAAAGAGUUGUUUUGUGCGGUAGAGCGAAUGAUUAGCGCACUCGGGGACAGAAUGUCUUUGGGCGAUUCUCAAACUUUUAAUGCGCAAGGGUGCCGCUGCUUUGGUGAGCGGUACCGUUAAAAACGUCGGCCCCGUGGGCCACUUUUGGUAAGCAGAACUGGCGAUACGGGAUGAACCGUAAGUGUGGUUAAGGCGUCAAACUUUCCGCUUAUAGAUCCCAAAAAAGGUGUUGAUUCAUCGAGACAGCAGGACGGUGGCCAUGGAAGUUGGAAUCCGCUAAGGAGUGUGUAACAACUCACCUGCCGAAUGAAUUAGCCCUGAAAAUGGAUGGCGCUUAAGCGGGAGGCCGACACCACACCGUCUGGUAAAGAUUUAUGAUCAGAUGAGUAGGAGGGCGUGGUGGUUGUAUCGAAGCAUGUGUGCAAAUGCAUGUGGAACGGCCACUAGUGCAGAUCUUGGUGGUAGUAGCAAGUAUUCAAGCGAGAUCCUUGAAGGGCAAAGCGGGGAAGGGUUCCAUGCGAACAUUGAUUGGGCAUGGGUGAGUCGUACCUAAAUCGAGUGGCAAUUGCUAAGUAUUGAUGAAAGGGAAGCAGGUUGACAUUCCUGCACACGGAUGUGGAGGCGGUGACGCACAUUGAGGUGAAGACGUUGGCGAUGGCGCUGGGCAGAGUUGUCUUUUCUGUUUAACCUGUUCAAGUGCUGUGUGGAAUCCGCUUGUCGGGAGAAACACGCGUUUGUGGUAAGAGCGCCGGGGCUUUUCCGGCGUCCAGCUCGCUAUCGACGGCCCUUGAAAAUUUACCUAAUGAAUAAAUCCACGCCGUGGCGUACCGAUUACCGCAUCAGGUCCCCAAGGUGAACAGCCUCUGCUCAAUAUGAACAAUGCAGGUAAGGGAAGUCGGCAAAUUAGACCCGUAACUUUGGGAUAAGGGUUGGCUCUAGUGCUGUGUGGGAGUGGUUGCCCAGUUGUUGGGGUGACCAGCGAAAGCUGUAUUGGCUGUGUGAUUUGUUUUGGCAAAUGUGACAGAGUCAUGAUGCUGAGCGGGUGAUUCUGCGUUGGGCGACGCCCACAGCAUGCAGCAAACUAGAACUGCAACGGGCAAAGGGAAUCCGACUGUUUAAUUAAAACAAAGCAUUGCGAGGGCCGAGGACGGUGAUGACGCAAU